CAGCAGCCGCGGUAAUACGUAGGUGGCAAGCGUUGUCCGGAAUUAUUGGGCGUAAAGGGCUCGCAGGCGGCUUCUUAAGUCUGAUGUGAAAGCCCCCGGCUCAACCGGGGAGGGUCAUUGGAAACUGGGAAACUUGAGUGCAGAAGAGGAGAGUGGAAUUCCACGUGUAGCGGUGAAAUGCGUAGAGAUGUGGAGGAACACCAGUGGCGAAGGCGACUCUCUGGUCCGUAACUGACGCUGAGGAGCGAAAGCGUGGGGAGCGAACAGGAUUAGAUACCCGAGUAGUCCCUGUCUCUUAUAC
rnacentral:rRNA from 1 species